GACGAACGCUGGCGGCGUGCCCAAUACAUGCAAGUAGAACGCUGAAGAGAGGAGCUUGCUCUUCUUGGAUGAGUUGCGAACGGGGGAGUAACGCGUAGGGAACCUGCCUUGGAGCGGGGGACAACUAUUGGAAACGAUAGCUAAUACCGCAUAACACUGGGUGACACAUGUCAUUUAUUUGAAAGGGGCAAUUGCCACACUACAAGAUGGACCUGCGUUGUAUUAGCUAGUAGGUGAGGUAACGGCUCACCUAGGCGACGAUACAUAGCCGACCUGAGAGGGUGAUCGGCCACACUGGGACUGAGACACGGCCCAGACUCCUACGGGAGGCAGCAGUAGGGAAUCUUCGGCAAUGGGGGCAACCCUGACCGAGCAACGCCGCGUGAGUGAAGAAGGUUUUCGGAUCGUAAAGCUCUGUUGUAAGUCAAGAACGAGUGUGAGAGUGGAAAGUUCACACUGUGACGGUAGCUUACCAGAAAGGGACGGCUAACUACGUGCCAGCAGCCGCAGUAA
rnacentral:rRNA from 1 species